GACGAACGCUGGCGGCGUGCUUAACACAUGCAAGUCGAACGGAAAGGCCCUGCUUUUGUGGGGUGCUCGAGUGGCGAACGGGUGAGUAACACGUGAGUAACCUGCCCUUGACUUUGGGAUAACUUCAGGAAACUGGGGCUAAUACCGGAUAGGAGCUCCUGCUGCAUGGUGGGGUUGGAAAGUUUCGGCGGAUGGGGAUGGACUCGCGGCUUAUCAGCUUGUUGGUGGGGUAGUGGCUUACCAAGGCUUUGACGGGUAGCCGGCCUGAGAGGGUGACCGGCCACAUUGGGACUGAGAUACGGCCCAGACUCCUACGGGAGGCAGCAGUGGGGAAUAUUGCACAAUGGGCGGAAGCCUGAUGCAGCAACGCCGCGUGCGGGAUGACGGCCUUCGGGUUGUAAACCGCUUUCGCCUGUGACGAAGCGUGAGUGACGGUAAUGGGUAAAGAAGCACCGGCUAACUACGUG
rnacentral:rRNA from 1 species